AGGCACAUCUCAUUGGCGCAUUCGGGUUUACCCAGCUGAAUGCCGCUAUUUCUGGUGUGCCAGAUAAAUGUGAAGGUUAAUUAACAGUGCAACUGGCUGUAGUUGCAGUGCCAGUCCCCUUCCUACAUGA